UACGGAGGAUGCAAGCGUUAUCCGGAAUGAUUGGGCGUAAAGCGUCCGCAGGUGGCUAUGUAAGUCUGCUGUUAAAGAGUGAGGCUCAACCUCAUAAGAGCAGUGGAAACUACAUGGCUAGAGUGCGUUCGGGGCAGAGGGAAUUCCCAGUGUAGCGGUGAAAUGCGUAGAUAUUGGGAAGAACACCAGCGGCGAAAGCGCGCUACUGGGCCAUUACUGACACUCAUGGACGAAAGCUAGGGGAGCGAAAGGG
rnacentral:rRNA from 1 species